rnacentral:tRNA from 1 species
GGUUAGGUGGCUCAGUGGUAGAGCACUUGCCUUGCAUGCAUGAGGCCCUGGGUUCAAUUCCUCAGCACCA